rnacentral:rRNA from 1 species
AUUGAACGCUGGCGGCAGGCUUAACACAUGCAAGUCGAGCGGGGGAAGGUAGCUUGCUACCGGACCUAGCGGCGGACGGGUGAGUAAUGCUUAGGAAUCUGCCUAUUAGUGGGGGACAACAUCUCGAAAGGGAUGCUAAUACCGCAUACGUCCUACGGGAGAAAGCAGGGGAUCUUCGGACCUUGCGCUAAUAGAUGAGCCUAAGUCGGAUUAGCGAGUGUGGUGGGGUAAAGGCCUACCAAGGCGACGAUCUGUAGCGGGUCUGAGAGGAUGAUCCGCCACACUGGGACUGGGACACGGCGCAGACUCCUACGGGAGGCAGCAGUGGGGAAUAUUGGACAAUGGGGGGAACCCUGAUCCAGCCAUGCCGCGUGUGUGAAGAAGGCCUUAUGGUUGUAAAGCACUUUAAGCGAGGAGGAGGCUACUCUAGUUAAUACCUAGGGAUAGUGGACGUUACUCGCAGAAUAAGCACCGGCUAACUCUGUGCCAGCCGCCGCAGUAA